UUACCAUCCCUAGUUCUGUCCAUUCUGGAAUUUAAUUUUUAAAUACGCUGUAUAUUCUUUUACAUACAUCGGACACGAUUCUACCAAAGUGCUGCUUGCUUGCUGAAUUUAGUAGGCAACAUUGGUUAAAAAUGACAGAUUUUUGCUAUUGUGAAUGGUGAUUGACAGAAGGAAGAAGAUGAAAACGUAAGCAAAAGAUUUAAAGAAAGCGGUAGAGAUGGAAGGGAACAAACUAAGAACAAUGUGGACAAAUAGUGACUGUUUAGUUUUGUAACAAAUAGAUACAUACAUAGUAUGUAUGUGUCUCUAUUUGUAUUGUGGUAAUCAUAAAAUUAUUAAAUUGGUAAUCACGCACAUUCGGAAUAAAAAGACCGCAGCACUAAAGUGUAUAUUGUACAAAUGAUUUAUUAAAGAAGUAUUUGACUUUUUACAAA